GGCUCAGGACGAACGCUGGCGGCGUGCCUAAUACAUGCAAGUCGAACGGUCUUUCUAUGGAAGCUUGCUUCCACUGAGAAGAUAGUGGCGAACGGGUGAGUAACACGUGGGUAACCUGCCCAUAAGAGGGGGGAUAACAUCCGGAAACGGGUGCUAAUACCGCAUAGUUUCUUGAUCGCAUGAUCGGGAAAGGAAAGACGGCCUUUGUGCUGUCGCUUAUGGAUGGACCCGCGGCGUAUUAGUUAGUUGGUGAGGUAACGGCUCACCAAGACGAUGAUACGUAGCCGACCUGAGAGGGUGAUCGGCCACAUUGGGACUGAGACACGGCCCAAACUCCUACGGGAGGCAGCAGUAGGGAAUCUUCCGCAAUGGACGAAAGUCUGACGGAGCAACGCCGCGUGAGUGAAGAAAGGUUUUCGGAUCGUAAAACUCUGUUGUCAGAGAAGAACAAGUUGGAGAGUAACUGCUCCAGCCUUGACGGUAUCUGACCAGAAAGCCACGGCUAACUACGUGCCAGCAGCCGC
rnacentral:rRNA from 1 species